CACAGGAGGGGCUGCAUUGUAAAUAUUCAAUAGGUUGAGUAUUAAGGUGGAACCUAGGUUCUAGAGGUAAUAGGAAGAGGUUGAGAAAUAUCAGAUGGAGAGAUGAAAUUCGUAGAUAUCUGGUGGAUGGACAAAGGCGAGGGCGUCCCUCUAAUAGAAAAGAAAAAUAAACCAAUAUAGGAUAGAUAAUAUAGGUUUGACCUGACACUGAGAUACUAGAGUGUAGGGAGCAAAAGGG
rnacentral:rRNA from 1 species